rnacentral:rRNA from 1 species
AGAGUUUGAUCCUGGCUCAGGAUGAACGCUGGCGGCGUGCUUAACACAUGCAAGUCGAACGGAGUAAUUAAAGUAGCUUGCUACAUUAAUUGCUUAGUGGCGGACGGGUGAGUAACGCGUGGAUAACCUACCUUACACAGGGGGAUAACAACGAGAAAUCGUUGCUAAUACCGCAUAAGUGUGAUUUCCGCAUGGGGAUCAUAUGAAAGCUCCGGCGGUGUAAGAUGGGUCCGCGUCUGAUUAGCUAGUUGGUGAGAUAACAGCCCACCAAGGCAACGAUCAGUAGCCGGCUUGAGAGAGUGGACGGCCACACUGGGACUGAGACACGGCCCAGACUCCUACGGGAGGCAGCAGUGGGGAAUAUUGCACAAUGGGGGAAACCCUGAUGCAGCGACGCCGCGUGAAGGAUGAAGGUCUUCGGAUCGUAAACUU